rnacentral:rRNA from 1 species
GACGAACGCUGGCGGCGUGCUUAACACAUGCAAGUCGAACGGAAAGGCCCUGCUUUUGUGGGGUGCUCGAGUGGCGAACGGGUGAGUAACACGUGAGUAACCUGCCCUUGACUUUGGGAUAACUUCAGGAAACUGGGGCUAAUACCGGAUAGGAGCUCCUGCUGCAUGGUGGGGGUUGGAAAGUUUCGGCGGUUGGGGAUGGACUCGCGGCUUAUCAGCUUGUUGGUGGGGUAGUGGCUUACCAAGGCUUUGACGGGUAGCCAGCCUGAGAGGGUGACCGGCCACAUUGGGACUGAGAUACGGCCCAGACCCCUACGGGAGGCAGCAGUGGGGAAUAUUGCACAAUGGGCGGAAGCCUGAUGCAGCAACGCCGCGUGCGGGAUGACGGCCUUCGGGUUGUAAACCGCUUUCGCCUGUGACGAAGCGUGAGUGACGGUAAUGGGUAAAGAAGCACCGGCUAACUACGUG